GGGUCGUUAGCUCAGUUGGUAGAGCAGUGGCCUCUUAAGCCAACGGUCGCAGGUUCGAAUCCUGCACGACCCA
rnacentral:tRNA from 1 species